rnacentral:rRNA from 1 species
AACGAACGCUGGCGGCAGGCCUCAUACAUGCAAGUCUAACGGGUAUAGCAAUACAUCAGUGGCGCACGGGUGAGUAACGCGUGGGAAUAUGCCCUUGACUACGGAACAACCUCGGGAAACUGAGGCUAAUACCGUAUAAUGUCUCCGUACCAAAGAUUUAUCGGUCAAGGAUUAGCCCGCGUCUGAUUAGGUAGUUGGUGAGGUAACGGCUCACCAAGCCUACGAUCAGUAGCUGGUCUGAGAGGAUGAUCAGCCACACUGGGACUGAGACACGGCCCAGACCCCUACGGGAGGCAGCAGUAAGGAAUAUUGGACAAUGGGGGAAACCCUGAUCCAGCCAUGCCGCGUGAGUGAAGAAGGCCUUCGGGUUGUAAAGCUCUUUUACCCCUGACGAUAAUGACGGUAAGGGGAGAAAAAGCCACGGCUAACUUCGUGCCAGCCGCCGCCGUAA